AAAGUGUUGUUGGCAAACUGUCCUUUCUGCUGGAAUAGCUUCCACUGGAAAUACUACUACUACUACUACUUAAAAAAAGUACAAAUCAACAAAACCCAAUGCUUUAGUAUGCACUUAUUAAGAAAUUUGAUACAUUUUUCUGAAGAAAUAGAAUUGUUCAAAGCUGGCUGGUCAACAGUGCGCUCCAGCCGGGAAUACCAGAAUAAGACUGAUUCGUUUUUUUGUUGUUUUUUUUGGAAGCAGGGCCAUGAUUAAGAACAAUGGCUGGGGGCAUUCACAUUAUGUCACUUGAAAUCUUGGACCAGUGAAGGAUGAACUAAAGCAAAAGCUUUUGCCAAGAAUGUUUUCAUUAAUCAAGAACAAAAGCUGGAGGAUGUGGUCAGCUGACUAUCUGGUGGUAUUGCUACCACCACCUGGUGGCCAAGGAGUUCAAAGGGCACUCAUGUAUUUGAGUU
rnacentral:ncRNA from 1 species